AGAGUUUGAUCAUGGCUCAGGGUGAACGCUAGCUACAGGCUUAACACAUGCAAGUCGAGGGGAAACGACAUCGAAAGCUUGCUUUUGAUGGGCGUCGACCGGCGCACGGGUGAGUAACGCGUAUCCAACCUGCCCACCACUUGGGGAUAGCCUUGCGAAAGUAAGACUAAUACCCAAUGAUAUCUCUAGAAGACAUCUGAAAGAGAUUAAAGAUUUAUCGGUGAUGGAUGGGGAUGCGUCUGAUUAGCUUGUUGGCGGGGUAACGGCCACCAAGGCGACGAUCAGUAGGGGUUCUGAGAGGAAGGUCCCCANAUUGGAACUGAGACACGGUCCAAACUCCUACGGGAGGCA
rnacentral:rRNA from 1 species